rnacentral:rRNA from 1 species
AUUGAACGCUGGCGGAAUGCUUUACACAUGCAAGUCGAACGGUAACAGGUCUUCGGAUGCUGACGAGUGGCGAACGGGUGAGUAAUAUAUCGGAAAGUGCCCAGUCGUGGGGGAUAACGUAGCGAAAGUUACGCUAAUACCGCAUAAGAUCUACGAAAGAAAGCGGGGGAUCGCAAGACCUCGCUCGAUUGGAGCGGCCGAUAUCAGAUUAGGUAGAUGGUGGGGUAAAGGCUCACCAAGCCAACGAACAGUAGCUGGUCUUAGAGGACGACAAGACAAAAUAGAACUGAGAAACGGUACAGACUCCUACGGGAGGCAGCAGUGGCGAAUUUUGGCCAAUGGACGCAAGUCUGAUCCAACCAUUCCGCGUGCAGGAUGAAGGCCCUCGGGUUGUAAACUGCUUUUGUACGGAGCGAAAAGGUCUCUAUUAAUACUGGGGGCUCAUGACGGUACCGUAAGAAUAAGCACCGGCUAACUACGUGCCAGCCGCCGCAGUAAUAC